rnacentral:rRNA from 1 species
CCUACGGGUGGCAGCAGUGAGGAAUAUUGGUCAAUGGACGCAAGUCUGAACCAGCCAUGCCGCGUGCAGGAAGACGGCUCUAUGAGUUGUAAACUGCUUUUGUACGAGGGUAAACGCAGAUACGCGUAUCUGUCUGAAAGUAUCGUACGAAUAAGGAUCGGCUAACUCAGUGCCAGUAGCCGCGGUAAUACGGAGGGUUCAAGCGCUAUCCGGAUUUAUUGGGUUUAAAGGUUGAGUAGGCGGUCGGGUAAGUUUGAAGGGAAAUUCCGAGGCUCAAAUUCGGAAUUGCUUCUGAUACUGUUCGGCUAGAGAGUAGUUGCGGUAGGCGGAAUGUAUGGUGUAGCGGUGAAAUGCUUAGAGAUCAUACAGAACACCGAUUGCGAAGGCAGCUUACCGGGCUACUUCUGACGUUGAGGCACGAAAGCGUGGGGAGCAAACAGGAUUAGAUACCCUGGUAGUC